AACGAACGCUGGCGGCGUGCCUAACACAUGCAAGUCGAGCGCGAAAAGGGCAACCUGAGUAGAGCGGCGCACGGGUGCGUAACACGUGGGUAAUCUGCCUUAGAGUCGAGGAUAACCUUCCGAAAGGUUGGCUAAUACUCGGUAAGCUUACGGUGUCUUCGGACGCUGUGGGAAAAGUAGGCCUCUGUUUACAAGCUUACGCUCUGAGAUGAGCCCGCGGACCAUCAGCUAGUUGGCGGUGUAACGGACCACCAAGGCAACGACGGGUAGCUGGUCGCAGAGGACGAUCAGCAACCCUGGAACGGAGACACGGUCCAGCCUCCUACUGGAGGCAGCAGUGGGGAAUUUUCCCCAAUGGGCGAAAGCCUGAUGGAGCAACGCCGCGUGUGUGAUGAAGGUUUUCGGAUCGUAAAGCACUUUCGACUGGGACGAAAAACCUUUGGCUAACAUCCAGGGGCCUGAUGGUACCAGGAGAAGAAGCACCGGCUAACUCUGUGCCAGCCGCCGCCGUAACAC
rnacentral:rRNA from 1 species